AAUCAACGCUGGCGGCGCGCCUAACACAUGCAAGUCGAACGAGAAAGUGGAGCAAUCCAUGAGUAAAGUGGCGUACGGGUGAGUAACACGUGGAUAAUCUGCCCUUUAGUGGGGAAUACCGUUGGGAAACCGACGACAAUACCGCAUAAGCUCGAGAGAGGAAAGCAGCAAUGCGCUGAAGGAGAAGUCCGCGGCCGAUUAGCUAGUUGGUAGGGUAAUGGCCUACCAAGGCUGUGAUCGGUAGCCGGCCUGAGAGGGCACACGGCCACACUGGCACUGAAACACGGGCCAGACUCCACGGGAGGCAGCAGUGGGGAAUCUUGCACAAUGGGGGAAACCCUGAUGCAGCGACGCCGCGUGAGCGAUGAAGCCCUUCGGGUGGU
rnacentral:rRNA from 1 species